rnacentral:lncRNA from 1 species
CGCAUGGCACAAAUACGAGAAGAUGGAAGAGAAGAAAUGAAUCAAAAAUUCAUUGUUAAAGUAGCUAAGAGACUCAGAAAGUCUCAUUUGGUUAUUAUUGCUUUACUUGUCUUUAUUUACGUAUUUAUUUUUUCAUUCAUUUGGGCCUCGAAGCCAAAGUUGUAAAUUUAAUAUAGGUGGAGCAAGACUCGAGCCAAAGGCUCAAAAACUAGAUUAGGACAGGUGAAAUGGGUCAAAAGUCCAAUUAGACUUGGACAAAUCUCGUUGAUUUGCGUCCAAUGGCCUAAAUCUUUUACUUUCUCCUCCGUUCCCCCUUUU